AUGACCAUGCAGAGGUGGCGCCGGGUCUCAAAGGAGCAGAACAUGCCGACCACAAAGGGGUUCUCGGCGAAGGAAAGAAGCCUACGAAAUAAUCACUUUCCUAUACAAAAAGCUACCAGAAAUCAAUAACAAAAAGCCCACCAAUGGAAGAGAAAAUACAGACAAGAUAUGUGAACUACAAUUAGAGCUCUUAACCAUAUGAAAAGAUGCUGAACCUCACAUGCAGUGGCCGAAGAGCAAAUCAAAACUACCCCAAGAUACAGUUUUUCACCUGGCAGACUGGCCAAAAGGAUCCAAAAAGCUGACACACUCUGGGUGAAGCUGUGUUGGAACAGGUACUUUUAUACCUUCCUAUCGGGUGUGUAAAAUGGUACAGCCUCCAUGCAAGGUACUCUGGCAUAUAAAAAGAAGUGCGCGUUCCCUUUGA